UAACCCAAAUCUUCAAUGUCACGGUUCUAAAACAUGUUUCUGUUGCAUUUCUGUGAAACCUGGUAUGGUAGUUGGUUGCUACAUUUGAUGUUAGCUGAAAAAAGGGAGGAAACCUGUCCCGAUGUCUUAUGCCCCUUUCGACUAGCUCUACUUCAGCAGCCCGGCCUGGUUCCGCUCUACUUCAGAGUGAACGCGUUUCCACAACCCGGAAACUGCAGCAGAGUGCCGCCUCCUGGCGGUGGGGGUUAUAACGCCUCACCUCGAGGCGCCAUGUGUUGUGCUUCCUUACUGUGCGACCUAACGCGAGUUGCUGUUUUUCCUGAGACAAAAUGAGAAGAGCAGAGCAAUUUUUUAUAGCCUGUUUGUGAUCUUUCAAAAAAUUUGAAGACAAUGUGCAGUGGGAGGAAUGCUACAGUUGUGGCGAGGAGGACAGCUGAUCUCCACCUUGAAGCUGGAGGAAUGCAGGUGGCCCAGACAUUGCAGAAUGUUGGUAAACUCGCUGCAGACCAUCAGUGUGGUUCUUCCUGUAGCCUCUGCGUUGGAGGAUGUCUCAUCAGCGUCCGUCUUCCUGACUGCCAGUCGGUGUUUACCUUCAGGUUGCCCAGAGAUCUUCACCUUUCUGGAGCAGGGAUCACAUGAGCUCAAUGUGCUGAUUAAAUAUUUAUAAUAAUAAAAAAAACGUGGCUAAUGUUA